rnacentral:misc_RNA from 1 species
GGAAGACAAAUUAUCAAGAAAUUAAGGCUUCUAUAUAUAUAUAUGUGUAUACAUGCUUCGAAGCUGAUGAACAUACUAUUUUCAAGAACUUGGAUUUUGCCAAUAGUCAUUAAGUCAUGGCAGAAGCCAAAGAAAUGUGGAAUGCUGCUCCAUUUAAAUUCACAUGGAGAAUUAACGAGUUUUCCAAAUGGACAGAAAAAUUGUAUUCAGAACAUUUCUCUGCUGGUGGUUGUAAAUGGCGUUUGGCUAUUUACCCCAAAGGAAACCAUGUGAAUUAUUUGUCAAUAUACCUGGAAGUUGCUUAUCCAAAAAAUUUGCCGGAAGGAUGGAGUACGGAAGUAAAAUUUAGCUUGGCAGUUGUUAAUCAAAUCAAUAGCAGGUCCACAGUCAGAAAAGAUACACAAAAACAAAUUGUAUUCAACGCAUCGGGAAAGAAUUGGAGUUGGGGUUUCGCAUCUUUCAUUCCUCUUAGCAAAUUAAAAAAUCCUUCAGAAGGGUAUCUUGUGGGAGAUAGCCUUAUGGUUGAAGCUGAGGUGCUUGUUUAUAAUGUCCAACAAUACAGCUCAAGGGUUUACACUGAGGAGGAAGUUCCUAGAAAUGAAUCUGAGCCAGCGGCUGCAACUGCAUCACCUUUAUCACAAAAGGAUACUGAAGCAAAGACUGAAGAGGCCACUCAAGCUACUGUUCCCACCAGUGAUCAAAACCUUCUCAAGUUACCAACACCGCCUCCUCCAAUUACGGCAAAGAAAAAUAUUAUUU